CGGGUACUCGAGUGGCGAACGGGUGAGUAACACGUGGGUGAUCUGCCCUUCACUUCGGGAUAAGCCUGGGAAACUUGGUCUAAUACUGGAUAGGACCAUCGUUUAGUGUCUGUGGUGGAAAGUUUUUUCGGUGGAGGAUGAGCUCGCGGCCUAUCAGCUUGUUGGUGGGGUAAUGGCCUACCAAGGCGACGACGGGUAGCCGGCCUGAGAGGGUGGACGGCCACAUUGGGACUGAGACACGGCCCAG
rnacentral:rRNA from 1 species